rnacentral:sRNA from 13 species
GUGAUGGCACAACUGAACAUUGAUCGCUAACGUUAGAAAUAAGCAGAUCUGUUCAGUGGGUGUCGUCACGUGUUCGCUUC